rnacentral:rRNA from 1 species
UACGUAGGGCGCAAGCGUUGUCCGGAAUUAUUGGGCGUAAAGAGCUCGUAGGCGGUUUGUCGCGUCUGCCGUGAAAGUCCGGGGCUCAACUCCGGAUCUGCGGUGGGUACGGGCAGACUAGAGUGUGGUAGGGGAGACUGGAAUUCCUGGUGUAGCGGUGAAAUGCGCAGAUAUCAGGAGGAACACCGAUGGCGAAGGCAGGUCUCUGGGCCACUACUGACGCUGAGAAGCGAAAGCAUGGGGAGCGAACAGG